ACGCUAUCCUCUCUGAUGAUGAAAGUCAAACUUAUUAGAUGUUGUCGACAUGGAAAUCACUUCUAUUGAUUUUGCGAUCCUGAUUUGAACAUGGAAACAAUUUGUAAAUUGUUGAAUGAAUCGAGGUGAUAAAUGUUAUUUACUGAAUUACUAUGUAGUGUGAAUUACUUUCGGCGAUUAAAUUAUAGUAUAUUAGCUGUUUUAUCCCGAAAGUAAGAUAAUGUAUUACUUGUGUGAAGUGAUGACUGAGUAUUAUUGGUAUAGGUGUUGAAAUGAGACAUGUCUAACUUAUUAGACAUGUGAGAAUUAUUCGUUUUCGUAGAUGAAGUGGUGGAUUGGUCAGUCAAGACUUAUCCCAUGUUUUAUUCAAUGAAGGGAUACUAAGCUAAGUGUGUGAAUUUCCGAGUGGCCACGGUUAUUUGCAUUCUAGCAUAGUAUCAAUAUGCCCUUUAUUAUUUUAUACAUUUGGAAACAAUUUUGAUUUUUAAAUGUUUUCUUAGAGAAAGAAUGAGAGUCAGGCUUUUCUGAACUGGUACCUAAUGAAUGGCCUAUCUCACUAUUUCUCAUUCAGGGCAAGAAGUCGGUUUUGACAACGAAAGGGUUUCACAGAGACUUGGUUUUAAAGAAUAAUCUUCAUCGGCUAUAUAAUUGUUUUCUAGUUAUCCAAUUUUUUUUUUUAUGCCGAAAAACUUUCUAUUGAACAAACUUGUUGCUCAAUUUAGCAUCUAUUAUCAAGGUAUAACCAGUCAAUUGCAUCUGCUUAAAAAAAAAAAUUGACUGUAAGACAUGAAGAUCAAGGAUGUUUUCAUGAUGAUGGUCAUUUUCUCUUCUUACGUUAUGUGGUUUGUGUUCAAAAGUAUGGAUGAUGAGGGUUCGUUUGUAUUUUCGUAUACAUUCAUUGUAAUUUAUACUAUUGUUAUAGCUUAUUUCCUUUCUAUCUAUAUUGUAGUCCUCAUGUGAGGUGUUUACACAUCCUCGCCUUUUUAUAUAUGAUAAGGAUUACAAGAAGUCAGGAAUAAGUUUUGUUUUCGGGGUGAAAGUAAGUGUUGUGUAUAAAAUCUUAUGCUGUGAAAUGUUGUUCUGUUUAUUUGUAAUGGUAGUUAUUGUCUCCGAUUAUCAAAUUUUAGUUUGAAAUUUCGAGGACGAAAUUAUUUUAACGGGGGAAGGAUUGUAAUAUCCAACAUUUUCAUAAUACAUUUAUUUAUUAUAAAUCAAAGUUUUAAUACAUAAAAUGUACAACUUUACAAAUUUAAGAAAUAGUAAUGGAAAAAUAGUGUUUAAAAUAUGAUUUUAUGUUUUUAAUGAGAUUAAAGAAAGAGAAACUUGAGUAGUCAAGUAUUGGACCCAAAUGUCAAAUAAUUUUAAUUGGGGAUUUUUAUAAAAUUAAGAAAGUUUGGCUAAAGGGCUUAUUUGAAAAGAAUUUUAGUAUUUUGGGUCCAAGUGUAAUUUUUAAAAAUAAAAAAAAUAAAAUAAAAUAAAAUAAAAUAAAAGGCUUCAGCCUUUCAUUUUACCCGAGCCCCUCUCUCUCUCUCCUCAGAAACCCUCUCUCUCUCUCUCCUCAGAAACUCUCUCUCUCUCUCUCUCUCUCUCUCUCUCUCUCUCCUCUGCGUAUUACUGUUGCCGACGACGCAGGAGUACUUUCCGGCCACCAUUUUUAGCCACGCGCCGGACCGUUGGAUUCAGAGGCCUCCGAACUAUCGACCAACGCGGGAAUCUAGAGCUCACUCGCCGAUUAAACGCCUCAACCACUCGAUUUAAGUUCGGCCACCCCGCGACUUCAAAGUUGCGAUUCGGCCACCUCGGGCAUCCGUUUGCCGAUCCGUCACCACCAUCGUGCUCCUCGUGUUGUGGGCUUCAAAACCCAAUAACUUGUUCCUACAUCUACCAUAGUUGGGUGGUGGGCCCACCACGAGCCACCGCGAUCCACCGUAGAUCGACGGUCGAAACUUAGUGUUCGAGGUUCCGAAGUACGUUUUGAGUCUCAGAAAAUCAUCGUUUGACUUAUUGUGGAACCCGAUCAUUUUGGAUUUGUAUGGAUUUGAUUGAUUGACUCUUGGUGAGGAAUUUUAAAAUAAGCUAAGGACCUAAGGUGUGGCUUUAGCUGUUGAGCAACUUGUGGAGCACGGACUCAGUAGCAAUGCAAUAAUGGUUUUAGAGUUUUCAUAUGGCUGCCUUAAAUUUAAAGUAUUCAUACGUGUAAUAAUUUCUUCUAAUAAGUUUAUAUAAAAGUUUAAAUUUUUCUGUAUUUCUUCGUAUCAUUUUAUUUAAUUCUUUUGGUCAAGUGCCUUACAUACUCGUAAACCCUAGAAUUACGAGUAUGUGGCAGACGUACCCUACCUUAGGGACGUU